UACGUAGGGGGCAAGCGUUGUCCGGAAUUAUUGGGCGUAAAGGGCUCGUAGGCGGUUCGUCACGUCGGGAGUGAAAACUCGGGGCUUAACCCCGAGCCUGCUUCCGAUACGGGCAGACUAGAGGUAGGCAGGGGAGAGCGGAAUUCCUGGUGUAGCGGUGAAAUGCGCAGAUAUCAGGAGGAACACCGGUGGCGAAGGCGGAUCUCUGGGCCUUACCUGACGCUGAGGCGCGAAAGCUAGGGGAGCGAACAGG
rnacentral:rRNA from 1 species